rnacentral:ribozyme from 13 species
AGAAAGAACAAAAGAAACAAAAAAGAAGAAAGAUCGCGGGGGCCAUCCAGAGAUGCAAAAAAUUCUGCUGAAUUUGAACAACGAUCUUGUUGGGGAAAAACAAAAUUUUUUUUUGAAAGUUUUCUUUU